GUAUGCAUUACACAUGCAAGUCGAACGGACUCUUCGGAGUUAGUGGCGGACGGGUGAGUAACACGUGAGAAUCUGGCUCUAGGUCGGGGACAACAGUUGGAAACGACUGCUAAUACCGGAUAUGCCGAAAGGUGAAAGAUUUAUUGCCGAGAGAUGAGCUCGCGUCUGAUUAGUUAGUUGGUGGGGUAAUAGCCUACCAAGACAUCGAUCAGUAGCUGGUCUGAGAGGAUGAUCAGCCACACUGGGACUGAGACACGGCCCAGACUCCUACGGGAGGCAGCAGUGGGGAAUUUUCCGCAAUGGGCGAAAGCCUGACGGAGCAAUACCGCGUGAGGGAGGAAGGCUUUUGGGUUGUAAACCUCUUUUCUUAAGGAAGAAUACAAUGACGGUACUUAAGGAAUAAGCAUCGGCUAACUCCGUGCCAGCAGCCGCGGUAAUACGGAGGAUGCAAGCGUUAUCCGGAAUAAUUGGGCGUAAAGCGUCCGCAGGUGGUUUUGUAAGUCUGCUGUUAAAGCGUGAGGCUUAACCUCAUAACGGCGGUGGAAACUACAAGACUUGAGUGCGUUCGGGGCAGAGGGAAUUCCUGGUGUAGCGGUGAAAUGCGUAGAUAUCAGGAAGAACACCGGUGGCGAAAGCGCUCUGCUAGGCCGUAACUAACACACAGGGACGAAAGCUAGGGGAGCGAAUGGGAUUAGAUACCCCAGUAGUCCUAGCCGUAAACGAUGGAUACUAGGCGUUGUCUGUAUCGACCCGGACAGUGCCGUAGCUAACGCGUUAAGUAUCCCGCCUGGGGAGUACGCACGCAAGUGUGAAACUCAAAGGAAUUGACGGGGGCCCGCACAAGCGGUGGAGUAUGUGGUUUAAUUCGAUGCAACGCGAAGAACCUUACCAGGGUUUGACAUGUCGCGAACUUCCUGGAAACGGGAAGGUGCCUUCGGGAGCGCGAACACAGGUGGUGCAUGGCUGUCGUCAGCUCGUGU
rnacentral:rRNA from 1 species